UUAAAUUGAAGAGUUUGAUCAUGGCUCAGAUUGAACGCUGGCGGCAGGCCUAACACAUGCAAGUCGAACGGUAACAGGAAGCAGCUUGCUGCUUCGCUGACGAGUGGCGGACGGGUGAGUAAUGUCUGGGAAACUGCCUGAUGGAGGGGGAUAACUACUGGAAACGGUAGCUAAUACCGCAUAAUGUCGCAGGACCAAAGAGGGGGACCUUCGGGCCUCUUGCCAUCAGAUGUGCCCAGAUGGGAUUAGCUUGUUGGUGAGGUAACGGCUCACCAAGGCGACGAUCCCUAGCUGGUCUGAGAGGAUGACCAGCCACACUGGAACUGAGACACGGUCCAGACUCCUACGGGAGGCAGCAGUGGGGAAUAUUGCACAAUGGGCGCAAGCCUGAUGCAGCCAUGCCGCGUGUAUGAAGAAGGCC
rnacentral:rRNA from 1 species